AAGACCUUGCGCUUUUGGAGCGGCCGAUGCCUGAUUAGCUGGUUGGUGGGGUAAAAGCUUACCAAGGCAACGAUCAGUAGUUGGUCUGAGAGGACGGCCAGCCACACUGGGACUGAGACACGGCCCAGACUCCUACGGGAGGCAGCAGUGGGGAAUUUUGGACAAUGGGCGCAAGCCUGAUCCAGCAAUGCCGCGUGAGUGAAGAAGGCCUUCGGGUUGUAAAGCUCUUUCAGUCGAGAAGAAAAGAUUGUGACGAAUAAUCACAAUUCAUGACGGUAUCGACAGAAGAAGCACCGGCUAACUACGUGCCAGCAGCCGCGGUAAUACGUAGGGUGCAAGCGUUAAUCGGAAUUACUGGGCGUAAAGGGUGCGCAGGCGGCUUUGUAAGUCAGAUGUGAAAUCCCCGGGCUUAACCUGGGAAUU
rnacentral:rRNA from 1 species